CUUAUACUCCCUCCGUCCGAAAAUACUUGUCAUUGAAAUGGAUGUAUCUAGAUGUAUUUUAGUUCUAGACACAUCCAUUUUGAUGACAAGUAAUUCCGGACGGAGGGAGUACUUG
rfam:Triticum aestivum genome assembly, contig: Triticum_aestivum_CS42_TGACv1_scaffold_365165_4DS